rnacentral:rRNA from 1 species
GACGAACGCUGGCGGCGUGCCUAAUACAUGCAAGUCGAACGCUUUUCUUUCACCGGAGCUUGCUCCACCGAAAGAAAAGGAGUGGCGAACGGGUGAGUAACACGUGGGUAACCUGCCCAUCAGAAGGGGAUAACACUUGGAAACAGGUGCUAAUACCGUAUAACAAUAGAAACCGCAUGGUUUCUAUUUGAAAGGCGCUUUUGCGUCACUGAUGGAUGGACCCGCGGUGCAUUAGCUAGUUGGUGAGGUAACGGCUCACCAAGGCAACGAUGCAUAGCCGACCUGAGAGGGUGAUCGGCCACAUUGGGACUGAGACACGGCCCAAACUCCUACGGGAGGCAG